rnacentral:lncRNA from 10 species
CACAUCCCAAAGUUUUUUGUUAAAACAAACAUUCAUCUAGAAACACUAUGAGAGGAAUGUCACUGACAAAAUAAACACAUUACAAAAGACGCAAAAACACAGUGCAGCUGGCCAUGAAGCCGCAUUAGGACACUGCUCUCAACAGAGCUUUAGCCCAGUUAUCUCUAAAAUGUACAAUCCCAGGCCCUCACAAAUCGCUGCUCAUACAACAGAAUACUUCUCCUGACGACUGGUAUUUGUGCACAAGGGAGCACAGCUUCCUAUUUUCUCCAAUGAAUAGCCUUGUCUGUUUUUAUUUUAUUUCAUGCACGCUGCUUCUCAGCAUCAUCGGCACGGCCUACAGACAUGUGCUGUCCUGAGUUCUGAUCCCAACUGCAACAUUUUCUAGACAUGAAACCUACAGGCAACCGAUUGAACUCCACAGAUGCAGGUUUUCUCUGCAAAAGGAGAAGUUAAGAAUGCCUAUCUCAAAAGGCUUUUGGGGACUUCAGUGAGAUUUGACAGACAGCAUGACGAAAUCACUUCAGUGAGAUUUGACAGACAGCAUGACGAAAUCACUUCAGUGAGAUUUGACAGACAGCGUGACGAAAUCACUUCAGUGAGAUUUGACAGACAGCGUGACGAAAUCACUUCAGUGAGAUUUGACAGACAGCCUGAUGAAAUCACUUCAGUGAGAUUUGACAGCAUGAAGCAAGGGCUCUAAUGGGUGGGGCCCAGCUCUUUCCUGAAGCUUCGCUCCACACCGCGCUGAGUGGCCUACAUGGAAGGCACUGGGCAUGGGCAGCAGGCGACAGCAACGUGUAGGCCUGCCUCAGAGAACCCGCAGAGACCUCUGCAGAAAUGCACACGAGUAAGGCAAAGCAGGACUGCCUCCAAGAUGAGACAGAAACAGAACACAGAGAAAAGCAGCCUCCACCUUUGAGUAGAUGAGCCUCUGGAAGGUCGCUUUUGUGGCCACAGCCCCUGACCUGGAGCGGAAAAUCUGGGGGUGAGGAACAAAGUAAGAGGAAAGACAAGCAAGUUCUGGAGCUGACAAGAAGCCUAAAUUUCACUGAGGUAUCCAAACAGGGAACACACCAAAGAGGAGGGCAGGGUUAGAACCCGAGGCCUUGCUGCCACGUGAAGAGGAUGAACUCCAUCUGGCAGGCAGCAGGACAUCAUCGAGGAGGUUAAACAAAUGAAAAAAAACCAUAAAUAACGUAAGAAUAUCAGCUUAGAAAAUAAUCAGUGGGGCCACGUAUGGUGGCUCACACCUGCAAUCCCAAAACUUUGGAAGGCUGAGGCAGAAGGAUGACUUAUGCCCAGGAGUUCAAGAUCAGCCUGGUCAACAUGGCAAGACUCUGUCUCUACAAGGAAAAAAAAAAUGUAAAAAUGAGCCAGGUGUAGUAGCACACAUCUAUGGUCCCAGUUACUCGGGGGGCGGAGGUGGGAGGAUCGCUUGAGCCCGGGGAUUGAGGCUGCAGUGAGCUAUGACUGCACCACCGCACUUCAGCCUGGGUGACAAAGCAAGACCCUGCCUCAAAAAAAAAAACCAAAAAAAAAAAACUAACUAAAAAAAAGAAUCAGCAGGACUGUGAGAAUGAAAUUUGAGAAGGAGGAAGAAUCGUGAGAUGAGCUCGGGUGGGCCGAGGAGCCAGGCGGGGGGCUUCUCAGUUUGGACAGGAAGAGCACAAGGUCAGCUGGGUGGAAACCACCGGCUGUGCUGGCCACUGAGUGGACACGGGAGGUGUUGGGGAAACACGAGACGCUGCUGGAGUCUGCAGCUGGUGAGGCUGAGAUGACAGAGGGAGCGUCAGAGGACAAAUCUGUGGGAAACAACGCCUUUCUGAAAGAAGAUAAAUGUGAGGUGCUGAGGAAAACUCACAUGAAGAUAUUUAGUGAACAUAAGCAGGUCUAACUGCAGAGAUCAGAUGGGGGUCAGUGAGAAGCAACACUGGGGAGCCCGGCUCCGGGGCCGUAAGCUGCCCUCGCAGCACUGCUUUUGCUGGGUCCAAAACUUCCAUGUGUUGGGUUUCAUUUUCACUGGGUUCAAAGUAUUUUCUAAUUGUUGUUCCCCCAGAGAUGAAAAUGUAAGGCAGAGAAUUGUAUGAGAUCUCCCAGGGAGAGGAAACAGAGGAUGGGGUUGACGGCAGAGCAUUGAGGAAUGCCUACAAAGAGGGGCAAAAAGCAAAAGCCAAGCUAGAGAAAGAGACGAGAAUCCGAGGUGUGGAGCGGCUGCACCUGCCCUCCCUCCACAACAGAUCGUCCCGUGGGAAGCUGGGCACUUGGCCAUCCAGGAACGCUUCCAUGCCUCCCUGGC